rnacentral:misc_RNA from 1 species
GCCUGAGUAAAACCAUAUCCUUUCAGUCCUAUCAUCUUUGUGGUUACCUACCUUGUCUUCUUCACCUUUAUCAUUUGGCAUUGAGCAGUUGGUUGGCAAUGGAGCGCCACAAAGUUUAGGGUUACCCUCAAAAGAUGAAGGAUUAGUGAAGGUGAGGAAUUGGUUGGCUGAUGGAAUUGGUCCUGAAAAGUUGUUAUGUGAUAAGUUGAGAUAGUUCAAGAAUGUCAUAGAAGACAUGCUUGGAGGAAUGGGACCUGAAAGAUGGUUGCAUGAGAGGUCAAGAGAUUCUAAAAGCUUCA